ACGAAGCAGAAAGCUUUGAAACAGCGAAAAAACGAAAAGAAAAAAGAGCAGAGGAAGAAAGAAGGAAAAGAGAAAAGAAGGAGGAAGAAGUGGGUGCAGUGUAUUGGAGCCAUAGUUAUAACUGUUGAGGAAUCUUAAGCACAAAUUGUCUCUUACGGAUUGAUUGGAGGAAUUUGUACGAAUUGCUCGAGGUGAAGCAUUUGGUAUUUCGGCACGAGUACUAGACAACAGCUGACUCGGGCGAGGAUCUCGUUAAUUAGAGCGCACAGGUUGAGAAUUCUUGGUGAGCCUCGCACUUGUUCGCGUGGGCAGAGAUUUUAUUUAUUGUUAUGGUCUUUCCAUUGAACUCUUAGAGUUGCUCCAUAGUCAGUAUUUUAGUGUCAUGAGUAUUUUUUUGUUAUUAUAGUCUUAUGUUGAGUAUUGUUCUCAUUUAUCAAGUUGGAGAUAAAUUAGUAUUUCUAGUGGUUAGUUGGUGAUUUAGUUAUGGUGGAGACAUGUAUUGGUUAAUUGACAAGUUGUCAAUUGUUUGGUAUGAUAUUAGGAUGUUUGGUUGUUGAUUUGAGACAUGAAAUUUUUUUGGGAUGGUCCAAAAACAGGGGAAACUCUACCCGGUUUUCUGUAAAAUUACUGAUGAGGCUUACUUGGGAGCACUUCUCCUAAGCGCCGGUCACAAUCCUAAAUUGGGUCGUGACAGAUUCCAUCCUUGAUAGUUACAGUAGUGCACACACAAGGGAGAAUUUCAUUUAUUGAAGUUGAAUUAUUUUUA